UAAAAUGAAAAUCGGAUCCUUGUUAAUUAUCACAAGAACAACAAUGGCGGCCCGAGUUAUACAGUUGCUCUGCAUGUCAUGCAAUGUUUGCCUGGUAGUACAAGUGUGCUUUAUACAGGGUGUGAAUUGUGAUAUACCAGAUGGUUUUGUGUAUACCGACUUACAAAAAAAUGCGGAGAAAGGAGAUGAGCUUGCUCUAAAAUGCGAAUUCUAUGGAGCGCCAUCUUCCGUUAACUGGACGAUAGGAGGUGAGUCCACGAGGCCAUCCAACCUGAUCAAAUGGGUGGAAGGGGGAUCCACUUCCGGGACAUGCGUUCUUGACGGGGUCUGCUAUAUAAACGAUGACUUCUCUCUCAUCAUCAGAAACAUUACAGUUUCAGAUCAAGGAACAUAUACAUGCAUAGUAACAAACUACGAAGGGAUCCUGAUCCACAAUUUCACAGAAGUAAACGUCUUUGCUCCUCCGAUGGAACCCUUUCCCCUUAUCGAUGAAUGUCGAGGAAUACUUCCAAACGAUGCCGAACAAA